rnacentral:rRNA from 1 species
AUUGAACGCUGGCGGCAGGCCUAACACAUGCAAGUCGAGCGGAUGAAGGGAGCUUGCUCCUGGAUUCAGCGGCGGACGGGUGAGUAAUGCCUAGGAAUCUGCCUGGUAGUGGGGGAUAACGUCCGGAAACGGGCGCUAAUACCGCAUACGUCCUGAGGGAGAAAGUGGGGGAUCUUCGGACCUCACGCUAUCAGAUGAGCCUAGGUCGGAUUAGCUAGUUGGUGGGGUAAAGGCCUACCAAGGCGACGAUCCGUAACUGGUCUGAGAGGAUGAUCAGCCACACUGGAACUGAGACACGGUCCAGACUCCUACGGGAGGCAGCAGUGGGGAAUAUUGGCCAAUGGGCGAAAGCCUGAUCCAGCCAUGCCGCGUGUGUGAAGAAGGUCUUCGGAUUGUAAAGCACUUUAAGUUGGGAGGAAGGGCAGUAAGUUAAUACCUUGCUGUUUUGACGUUACCAACAGAAUAAGCACCGGCUAACUUCGUG